CCCGGGAUGAGUCUGCUGGCAGCGGAUAUAAGAGAGAAGAUCGACCAGAGUCACGACGACAUCAACCCCCAUAACCUGGGACAACUCAAGAAAACUACGCAGGAAGCUGAGAAACUACUGGAGUGUCAAGUCUGUAAAAUCGGAUGGACUGCCAAUCGGAGAAUGAAAGCUACCCAGCCUGGCCUUACAUUCUUUCACUUAAUACAUAAACAAGAAGGGGGAAAUGUUGGGAGCCAAAAAGGCCAAAGGGAUGGUGACCAACUCAGCAUUCCACUGGAGGCUACAUGAUCAAACAGCAAACUGUUUAUCAUGAAUACAGAAUGUGGGCAAACUCGCUUCUGUGCCUGCCCAGAAGGUUUGCUGAGGGCCAUCGCUCCCUGGCCCCGGCUCCUUGAGGUUAUCUACUGGGACAUCUAGAGCCUAUUGUUCGAGGAAUGCAGUCUUGCAAGCCUACUCUGGACCGAGCAGCUGACCUCUUCUUCCACACCCCUUCUCACUAUCUCUUUUGCCUAAUAAAUAUGGAGGGCUGUGUAAAGCUCAGGGCCCUUGUCCACUAGAGGCAAGGUGUCC
rnacentral:lncRNA from 1 species